UAAUUACUCCCUCCGUUCGGAAUUACUUGUCUCGAAAAUGGAUGUAUCUAGAACUAAAAUACAUCUAGAUACGUCCAUUUCUGCGACAAGUAAUUUCGAACGGAGGGAGUAGCUA
rnacentral:pre_miRNA from 1 species